rnacentral:rRNA from 1 species
UCUGGUUGAUUCUGCCAGUAGUCAUAUGCUUGUCUCAAAGAUUAAGCCAUGCAUGUCUAAGUGUAAGCAAUUUAUACUGUGAAACUGCGAAUGGCUCAUUAAAUCAGUUAUCGUUUAUUUGAUAGUACCUUACUACAUGGAUACCUGUGGUAAUUCUAGAGCUAAUACAUGCUGAAAACCUCGACUUCGGAAGGGGUGUAUUUAUUAGAUAAAAAACCAAUGCCCUUCGGGGCUCCUUGGUGAAUCAUAAUAACUUAACGAAUCGCAUGGCCUUGCGCCGGCGAUGGUUCAUUCAAAUUUCUGCCCUAUCAACUUUCGAUGGUAGGAUAGUGGCCUACCAUGGUGGCAACGGGUAACGGGGAAUUAGGGUUCGAUUCCGGAGAGGGAGCCUGAGAAACGGCUACCACAUCCAAGGAAGGCAGCAGGCGCGCAAAUUACCCAAUCCCGACACGGGGAGGUAGUGACAAUAAAUACUGAUACGGGGCUCUUUUGGGUCUCGUAAUUGGAAUGAGUACAAUUUAAAUCCCUUAACGAGGAACAAUUGGAGGGCAAGUCUGGUGCCAGCAGCCGCGGUAAUUCCAGCUCCAAUAGCGUAUAUUAAAGUUGUUGCAGUUAAAAAGCUCGUAGUUGAACCUUGGGUCUGGCUGGCCGGUCCGCCUCACCGCGAGUACUGGUCCGGCUGGACCUUUCCUUCUGGGGAACCUCAUGGCCUUCACUGGCUGUGGGGGGAACCAGGACUUUUACUGUGAAAAAAUUAGAGUGUUCAAAGCAGGCCUUUGCUCGAAUACAUUAGCAUGGAAUAAUAGAAUAGGACGUGUGGUUCUAUUUUGUUGGUUUCUAGGACCGCCGUAAUGAUUAAUAGGGAUAGUCGGGGCGUCAGUAUUCAGCUGUCAGAGGUGAAAUUCUUGGAUUUGCUGAAGACUAACUACUGCGAAAGCAUUCGCCAAGGAUGUUUCAUUAAUCAGGGAACGAAAGUUAGGGGAUCGAAGACGAUCAGAUACCGUCGUA